UAGGUUUGUCCUAAGUAAAACAUCUUUAUGUUUGACCAACUCUAUAGAAAAUAUGUUAAUAUCUACAAAAUCAUACUAUAUAUAGCUUCAAUAUUUAUUUUAUGGUGAAACGAAUAUGAUGUUGUAGAUAUUGGUAUAUUUUUCUAUAGACUUGGUCAAAAUUAUAAAUGCUUGACUUAGGACAAGCAUAA
rnacentral:pre_miRNA from 1 species